UGUAAUGUUGUUGUAGGGUUCAGUGUUGUGUGAGGAGGUUUAGUGUUUGUUGUUGUGUAUUGUAAUGUUGUUGUAGGGUUCAGUGUUGUGUGUGGAGGUUUAGUGUUUGUUGUUGUGUAUUGUAAUGUUGUUGUAGGGUUCAGUGUUGUGUGUAGAGGUUUAGUGUUUGUUGUUGUGUAUUGUAGUGUUGUUGUAGAGUUCAGUGUUGUGUGAGGAGGUUUAGUGUUUGUUGUUGUGUAUUGUAAUUUUGUUGUAGGGUUCAGUGUUGUGUGUAGAGGUUUAGUGUUUGUUGUUGUGUAUUGUAGUGUUGUUGUAGAGUUCAGUGUUGUGUGUGGAGGUUUAGUGUUUGUUGUUGUGUAUUGUAGUGUUGUUGUAGAGUUCAGUGUUGUGUGUGGAGGUUUAGUGUUUGUUGUUGUGUAUUGUAAGUAUGUUGAAGGGUUCAGUGUUGUGUGUGGAGGUUUAGUGUUUGUUGUUGUGUAUUGUAAGUUUGUUGAAGGGUUCAGUGUUGUGUGUGGAGGUUUAGUGUUUGUUGUUGUGUAUUGUAUGUAUGUUGAAGGGUUCAGUGUUGUGUGAGGAGGUUUAGUGUUUGUUGUUGUGUAUUGUAAGUAUGUUGAAGGGUUCAGUGUUGUGUGUGGAGGUUUAGUGUUUGUUGUUGUGUAUUGUAAGUAUGUUGUAGGGUUCAGUGUUGUGUGUAGAGGUUUAGUGUUUGUUGUUGUGUAUUGUAAGUAUGUUGAAGGGUUCAGUGUUGUGUGUGGAGGUUUAGUGUUUGUUGUUGUGUAUUGUAAGUUUGUUGAAGGGUUCAGUGUUGUGUGUGGAGGUUUAGUGUUUGUUGUUGUGUAUUGUAAGUAUGUUGAAGGGUUCAGUGUUGUGUGUGGAGGUUUAGUGUUUGUUGUUGUGUAUUGUAGUGUUGUUGUAGAGUUCAGUGUUGUGUGUGGAGGUUUAGUGUUUGUUGUUGUGUAUUGUAGUGUUGUUGUAGAGUUCAGUGUUGUGUGUGGAGGUUUAGUGUUUGUUGUUGUGUAUUGUAGUGUUGUUAUAGGGUUCAGUGUUGUGUGAGGAGGUUUAGUGUUUGUUGUUGUGUAUUGUAAGUAUGUUGAAGGGUUCAGUGUUGUGUGUGGAGGUUUAGUGUUUGUUGUUGUGUAUUGUAAGUAUGUUGAAGGGUUCAGUGUUGUGUGUGGAGGUUUAGUGUUUGUUGUUGUGUA